GACGAACGCUGGCGGCGUGCCUAAUACAUGCAAGUAGAACGCACAGUUUAUACCGUAGCUUGCUACACCAUAGACUGUGAGUUGCGAACGGGUGAGUAACGCGUAGGUAACCUGCCUGGUAGCGGGGGAUAACUAUUGGAAACGAUAGCUAAUACCGCAUAAUAUUGAUUAUUGCAUGAUAAUUAAUUGAAAGGUGCAAUUGCACCACUACCAGAUGGACCUGCGUUGUAUUAGCUAGUAGGUGAGGUAAGGGCUCACCUAGGCGACGAUACAUAGCCGACCUGAGAGGGUGAUCGGCCACACUGGGACUGAGACACGGCCCAGACUCCUACGGGAGGCAGCAGUAGGGAAUCUUCGGCAAUGGACGAAAGUCUGACCGAGCAACGCCGCGUGAGUGAAGAAGGUUUUCGGAUCGUAAAGCUCUGUUGUAAGAGAAGAACGGGUGUGAGAGUGGAAAGUUCACACUGUGACGGUAUCUUACCAGAAAGGGACGGCUAACUACGUG
rnacentral:rRNA from 1 species